rnacentral:snRNA from 1 species
CUGUCACUGCAGUGGCAGUAUCGUAGCCAAUGAGGUUAAUCCGAGGCGUGAUUAUUGCUAGUUGUAGACCCAAGUUGAGUGAAUAGCAGAUGUGCAUGAAGGUGCAAUUCAGGUUGAGCUUUAAGGGGU